UGAGGAAUAUUGGUCAAUGGACGCAAGUCUGAACCAGCCAAGUAGCGUGCAGGAUGACGGCCCUAUGGGUUGUAAACUGCUUUUAUAUGGGGAUAAAGUGGGGAACGUGUUCCCUUUUGCAGGUACCAUAUGAAUAAGGACCGGCUAAUUCCGUGCCAGCAGCCGCGGUAAUACGGAAGGUUCGGGCGUUAUCCGGAUUUAUUGGGUUUAAAGGGAGCGUAGGCCGUUUGGUAAGCGUGUUGUGAAAUGUAGGAGCUCAACUUCUAGAUUGCAGCGCGAACUGUCAGACUUGAGUGCGCACAACGUAGGCGGAAUUCAUGGUGUAGCGGUGAAAUGCUUAGAUAUCAUGAGGAACUCCUAUUGCGAAGGCAGCUCACGGGAGUGUCACUGACGCUUAAGCUCGAAGGUGCGGGUAUCAAACAGG
rnacentral:rRNA from 1 species